GUCCCAGUAUGCGUAGUGGUUUGAGUGUUGGACUAUGACUCUAAAGACCAAAGUUCAAUUCUCUGCUCGGCCA